rnacentral:rRNA from 1 species
GGUGCUCGAGUGGCGAACGGGUGAGUAACACGUGAGUAACCUGCCCUUGACUUUGGGAUAACUUCAGGAAACUGGGGCUAAUACCGGAUAGGAGCUCCUGCUGCAUGGUGGGGUUGGAAAGUUUCGGCGGUUGGGGAUGGACUCGCGGCUUAUCAGCUUGUUGGUGGGGUAGUGGCUUACCAAGGCUUUGACGGGUAGCCGGCCUGAGAGGGUGACCGGCCACAUUGGGACUGAGAUACGGCCCAG